rnacentral:rRNA from 1 species
UACGUAGGGGGCAAGCGUUGUCCGGAUUUAUUGGGCGUAAAGAGCGUGUAGGCGGCUAGACAGGUCCGCUGUGAAAACUCGAGGCUCAACCUCGAGACGUCGGUGGAAACCGUUUGGCUAGAGUCCGGAAGAGGAGAGUGGAAUUCCCGGUGUAGCGGUGAAAUGCGCAGAUAUCGGGAAGAACACCCGUGGCGAGGGCGGCUCUCUGGGACGGUACUGACGCUGAGACGCGAAAGCGUGGGGAGCGAACAGG